rnacentral:sRNA from 1 species
UGGGUAGCCCCGAUCAGCUGCCAGACCCCCGACCCGGCAGAUUGAUCGGGGCUCCUUA